rnacentral:rRNA from 1 species
AACGAACGCUGGCGGCAGGCUUAACACAUGCAAGUCGAACGCACCUUUCGGGGUUAGUGGCAGACGGGUGAGUAACGCGUGGGAAUCUACCCUUCUCUACUGGAUAUCUCCGGGAAACUGGAAUUAAUACCGUAUACGUCCUGAGGGAGAAAGAUUUAUCGGGGAAGGAUGAGCCCGCGUUGGAUUAGCUAGUUGGUGGGGUAAAGGCCUACCACGGCGACGAUCCAUAGCUGGUCUAAGAGGAUGAUCAGCCACAUUGGGACUGAGACACGGCCCAAACUCCUACGGGAAGCAGCAGUGGGGAAUAUUGGACAAGGGGCGCAAGCCUGAUACAGCCAUGCCGCGUGAGUGAUGAAGGCCCUAGGGUUGUAAAGCUCUUUCAGUGGGGACGAUAAUGACGGUACCCACAGAAGAAGCCCCGGCUAACUUCGUG